CAUCCGGUUGAUCCUGCCGGAGUACUACGCUACCCCCAAGGACAAAAGCCAUGCAAGCGGACACGAGGUAUGAAGUGGCGGACGGCUCGGUACAACGGUACGAGUCUGACCGGGGGUGAAGGCUAGACGGAUACCGCUGGCAACCCAGCGCCAAGACGAGUGCUCAAGAGCGGGGAAGGAAAGCACGCGAUGGAGCGAAUGCCCGGAUGAGGUUCCGAGGUAUUACCUAGUCGGUAGAGUAGUGGUCUACGGAGGGGAUGAUGCCUGGCGGAGGAUCAGGGUUUGACUCCGGAGAACGGGCCUGAGAGACGGCCCGUACAUCCAAGGACGGCAGCAGGCGCGGAACUUGCCCAAUGCGUGAAGGCGUGAGGCAGCAACGGGGGAUCCCAUGAAAUGGGAAGACUGGGGGGUAGAUGACCCCAGCACAAGUCGAGGGAAAGGUCUGGUGCCAGCAGCCGCGGUAAUUCCAGCUCGGCAGGCGUCGUACGGCGCUGUUGCAGUUAAAACGUCCGGAGUCGAGACGUCCAGCCGGGAGGAAAGAGGAGCGCUUAAGGCGGGAGUGAGUACGAGAAAGCCCGGGACGGACAUGAAGGUGAAUGGGUAAGGGCAUGUGUAUUGGUGGGGGACGGGUGAAAUAGGAUGAUCCGACCAAGACAGACAAAGGCGUAGGCACUUGCCAAGACCAUAUCAGUCGAACCAGGACGAAGCCCGGGGGCGAGAAGGCGAUUAGACACCACCGUAUUCCCGGGCGUAAACGAUGCCACCGAGAGACUGGCCAGGUCGUCAGGAUCGAAGGGAAACCGAUCAGGGUACGGGCUCUGGGGGGAGUAUGGCCGCAAGGCUGGAACUUGAAGGCAUUGACGGAGGGGUACCACCAGACGUGGAGUCUGCGGCUCAAUUUGACUCAACGCGAACACCUUACCAGGCCCAGACGUACGGAGGAUCGACGGUUGAGAGGACCUUCGUGAUCGUACGAGUGGUGGUGCAUGGCCGUUCACAGCCCGUGGCUUGAGCCGUCUGCUUGACUGCGACAACGAGCGAGACCCUAACCUGGAUGGGACCGCCAAUGGUGAAUUGGAGGAAGGUGGGGCGAUAACAGGUCUGUGAUGCCCUUAGACGCCCUGGGCUGCACGCGUACUACACUGUGGGGAUGAAACCACGUCGAGUUGUGAAGCUUGAUGAGAUCAAACCCCCACGUGGUUGGGAUCGUGGACUGGAACGUCCUCGUGAACCUGGAAUGUCUAGUAGGCGUAGGUCAUCAAUCUACGCCGGAUACGUCCCUGCCCCUUGUACACACCGCCCGUCGCUCCUACCGACUGGGUCUUCUGGCGAGCUCCUGGGAGGGAUGAACCGAACAGGGACGAACCGCGAGGCUUGGAGGAAGGAGAAGUCGUAACAAGGUAUCCGUAGGUGAACCUGCGGAUGGAUCCAUC
rnacentral:rRNA from 1 species